rnacentral:lncRNA from 1 species
CUCUCUGUCCUUCGGUGGAGACUCCGGGAAAAACCUGCCUCCCAGUCUGCCCUCUCUCCGUCUGUCUGUGCUUGUUUUUCUACGUUUAUCCCUGUCGCUUUCCCCACUUAUUCUGCAGGCAUGGCGCGCCCCCAGUGCCGGCUUGGUGCCAGGGCUGGGAGAUCCGGGGGUGAAUCGUGAGCCCGGCCCACAGCGAGCUUGCAGUCUAGAGAUCAAGGCAGUCUUGUCCACAACCUGCUGUCACAUAAAGCAAAUGUAGCUGGUGUAGCACCAGGGGCUGCAAUCAAGUGCGGUGGGGCGGCAAUAGUGACCACGGAAAUAAUCAGAAUUGCUUUUAAUUCAGCUCCUACUAUAUUCCCGCAUCCCUGAGCCUCACAAUCAUCCUCCAAGGAUGUUCGCUUUGGCAGAUGAUUAGAAUACGUGCUGACUUGAUAGCCACAACUGUCCUGAUAAGAAAGUACGCCGGCCUGGCUGGGCAUGGUGGCUCACGCCUGUAAUCCGAGGAUUUUGGGAGGCCCAGGCGGGCGGAUCACUUGAUGUCAGGAGUUCGAGACCAGCCUGUCCAACAUGGUGAAACCCCGUCUGUACUAAAAAUACAAUAAUUAGCCGAGCAUGAUGGCAUGUGCCUGUAAUCCCAGCUACUCGGGAGGCUGAGGCACGAGAAUCGCUUGAACCUGGAAGGCAGAGGUUGCAGUUACUUUCCCGACAUUGCACCACUGCACUCCAGCCUUGGCGACAAGAGCGAAAUUUUGUCUCAAAAAAGAAAGAAAGAAAGCACUCAGGCCUGACCCAGGACCACAGCAGUGGACAUGGAGGGAGGAGGCUGGGGGUAGUUGGAUUGGUAUGAUAUGUCACUGAGUAAACGAAGGAAGGGACAGAAAGAGAACUCCAAAGUGUCAAAAGCCUGGACAACAGAGAGAAAGCAUCCUUGUCCUAUCAUUUAAAGCACCUGUUGGGCCAAAUAGGGAGCACCUUUCAGAAUCCAUGUGCACAAGAUCUCAGCAAUUCUACGUCCAAGAAUGUAACCUACAUCCAAGAAUGUACUGGAAUUUAAUUCCACAUCCAAGAAUCCCCAUAGGUAGCAAAGAUGUAUAUUUAAGGGUAUUCUCUCAGCUUUGUUUUUAUGUUAGGAGAUUGGGAACAACCUAAAUGCCCAUCAGCUGGUGACUGGCUAGGUUAACUAUUCACAAAUGGAAUACUAGGUAGCCUCCUAAAAGAGGAAAGCAAUUCUACAUAUCCUGAUACAGUGUGGUCACCAGAUAGAUGGCUAAGAUACAAAUAAAACAAACAAGUUGCAGUGUUAGAGUAUGCUAUGUAUCACUCCUUUUUAAGGACAAAAAGAGGAUAUACUUUAACUUUUUAAGAUACCAAAGUAUUUAUUUAUUUAAAAUUUUUUUCACAGAAUUGUUAUAGCAUGUAGAACCAAAAAUUAUUUACAAAUGAAAUUAUUCAAUGUCUGAGAUUUGUGUCAAAAUAAUGGUAUGGGGGUUUAGUGAGUAAGCAUGUAGGUAGAACAAGAUUGUCCAUGAGCUGAUAGUUGUUGAAGCUGGGUGAUCACCUGGGUGUUUUAUACUAUUUGGGUGUUAAACUAUUUUUUUUUCUAUUCUUGUGUAUGUGUCAAAUUUCCACUUAAGAAAAUGGGGGAAAAUGGUGUCAGCCCUCCAUUCCAGCUGAACACACCAUGUUAGUUCAUGCCCCAUCACACCACUCUUCUAGCCAUCUGUCAAUCUUCUCUGCCUGGCAAAUUUCUACUCUUUCAUCAGGACCCAGGAUAAUUAUCACCUUCUCUGAGAGGGCUUUUCCAACCCCUAUAGUCAGAAUCAUUCCUUCUCUAUGCUUGGGGCCCCCUGAGAAAUGUCUCUAAUCCUGUCACAAAUACAUAUUCCAGUGUCAUUAUCCAUCUCCCUAGUAGACAGUGAACAUUUCCAUCAAUGAGACAAUGUCUCAACUAUCUUCUUUCUGUCUCAACCCUUAACCCUGGCACUUAAUACUUGUUUGUUAAAUUCAUGGGUCAGGUCUAGUGAAGACAAUGAUUAGUUGUUUGGUUUGAUACAUACUGACCUUGAGAAGUCAAAGGGAUAUAGGAGGAGAGAAAGUGAAUGAGGAACUGAUGUUACUGAGCCUGUGCUAGGAGACUGCUGGGGCAAGGAAUAGAGUGAGGAGAAAGGAGGCAAGGCUCCUGCUGGCAAGGACCUCACUUUCAUUUCAGCUGGGGAAGAGCAUGGAAAGAUGUCAUUCUAGAGCAUGGUAAGUGCCAUGGAUGAAAUAGACAAGGCAAAACUUAUUCCACUUCAGCAAAGCGAGUGUCAAUAUUCUACUUAUGGAUGAGUGGAUGAACACAUGUUCAGAUGAAAUCACUUGUGCAAAGUUUACAGCUGUUAGUGCUGAACAGGAACAAGCCUUUGUCUGCCAUCAUGUGCGGCCAUGCUUUUUCCUCUGCCCUUCACUGCCAUUCGACAUGCAGGUGACACUCUGGAGCUCGGACCGAACAUUCAGAUUUGGAGGUCAUUCUACAGGAGAUAGUUGAAAUGAGGGGAGGGGAGAAGGUCUCCUAGAAACCACAAGAGAGGGAAAGUAACAGCAGCUGACUUUCAUUGAGUACUUAGUACACUCCAGACCCCAUACUAAGCAUUUUUUUUUUUGAGAUGGAGUCUCGCUCUGUUGCCCUGGCUGGAGUGCAGUGGUGCAAUCUCGGCUCACUGCAACCUCCUCCUCUUGGGUUCAAGCGAUUCUCCUGCCUCAGCCUCCCAAGUAGCUGGGACUACAGGUGUGUGCCACCACGCCCAGCUAAUUUUUUGUAUUUUUAGUAGAGCCAGCAUUUCAUCGUGUUAGUCAGGAUGGUCUUGAUCUCCUGACCUCAUGAUCUGCCCGCCUCAGUCUCCCAAAGUGCUGGGAUUACAGGCGUGAGCCACCGCACCUGGCCCAUACUAAGCCUUUUACACUUUUAAAAGUAAAAGUGAAAUCACUUUGCACAAGUGAUUUCAUCUGAACAUGUGUUCCUCCACUCAUCCAUAAGUAGAAUAUUGACACUUGCUUUGCUGAAGUGGAAUAAGUUUUGCCUUGUCAAUUUGUUUAUUUAUUUAUUUAUUUAUUUAUUUAUUUAUUUAUUCUAUUAUAUAUUUAUUUAUUCCAUAUAACAACCCUCAUUAAGUAGGAACUCUUUUUUGAGGGACAGGGUAUUACUGUGUUGCCCAGGCUAGUCUUGAACUUCUGGCCUGUGGUGUUCCUCCUGCCUUGGCCCCACAGAGUGCUGAGAUUACAGGCUUCAGCCACCAUGCCCGGUCUAAAGUAGGAACUCUUAACAGUCCCACAUUUAUAGCCUGGGAAAAUGAAGCUUAGGAAGAAUGAAGUCAACAGAGCAACAGAGGUCACACACCUCGCAAACAGCAGAGCCCAAAUGUCUUACCAUGCACUACCCUUUUGAGAAAGAAGACUGAAAUCAGGAGCCUGGUAAGGAAAUGGUGGAAACAGUGAAAGAGAACAAGAUGCACUGUUUCAUUUGUGAGAUGAGAAACAGAAAAAAAGAAAUGUCCUGAGAGCCCAAGAAAGACUGUUAGGAAAGGAACUGGGGCAAGUGUCAGAGUCCAUGGAGAAACCCAGCAGGGAAACCUGAGGGUCAUGGCAAUUGGCCAACACGAGGCGAUAAGGGACCUUUGAUGGAGCUAUUUUUGGUGGUGCUAACCUUCUUUGCUACAGGCUCACAACUGGAGCAUCUGCUUGCUUCCUCUGACCUGCCCCCUGGACUCAUGUUGUCAUUCUUCUCGCUCAACCUGUCUGCCUAGGGAAGAAGCCCUGGACUGUGUUUCCCCAAUCUCAGUAUUCCCAACCCUCCUGGCCCCCAACCCAGUACCUGCAGAGCUGACUCUAACCACCCAGUGCACCUCCCGCAGGCUGCAGCAGCCCCCAUCGAGGCCACUCAUUUACAGCACAGGCCCACACAGUCUGACAAAGGACAGCUGCAAUCCUCUGUCAACUGCAGUCCUUUCCCAGGCACAUGCUGGAUUGGGAAACAGGUGGGAGAAAAGAACAGACAUUUAUCAAGCACCUACUCUGUGCCUAGCAUUGUGCUAGGUGCUAGAGAGCCAAAAAUAAAUAGCAGCUGCUCUUGUGGAGGUCACAGUCUUGGAGGAGUUAAAGACACGGAAACAAAUUACAACACAGCGUAACAGCAGUGACAGAAGCACGUAUGAUAUGGUUUGACUGUGGCCCCACCAAAUCUCAUCCUGAAUUGUAGUUCCCAUAAUCCCCACUUGUGGUGGGAGGGGCCCAGUCGGAGGUAAUUGAAUCAUAAGGGUAGUUUCCCCCAUGUUAUUCUCGUGAUAGUGAGUUCUCAUGAGAUCUGAUGGUUUUAUAAGGGGCUUCCCCCUUCACUCAGCUCUCAUUCUUCUCUCUCCUGCCACCAUGUAAAGAAGGAUGUGUUUGGUUUCCCUUCCAUCACGAUUGUAAGUUUCCUGAGGCCUCCUCAGCCAUGUGGAACUGUGAGUCAAUUAAAUCUCUUUCCUUUAUAAAUUACCCAGUCUUGGGUAUUUCUUCAUAGCAGCCUGAGAAGGGACUAAUACAACAUACGAAGUUGGCAGCAAAGUGAGUGGUGGAAAGGAGAGUCAUGGAAAAGCAAACAAGGGAGGGUUAUAACUACAGCUUGGCAUCCUCCACUAAUGUUGUAAGGUCCUGGAGCAUUUUGGCAAUGGUGCUAAAAUGAGGAUGUAAGGACAAAAUCCCCUAGAUUUUCGACAGGUGAGCUUGUGAGGUGUUG